GGGGUAGAGUGAAUUUCGGCUCACGCUUUUUACCGUUGUAAUCUCUGGUGACAGCAGCGGCACGGGCGCUCGUUUAAAUACCGUUAGUAUUCAGAUCUGUCGCAAUGAUGUCAUAUGAAUAACAGCUUUGCAGCAGAUCUGCAAGAUCACAUCAGAACAGACCUUGCAUCUGCCAAAAGCAUGCUGAAUUCGCUUCGCUGAAUGGCAGGAACUGAGUCAAGAGAAAGAGCUCAAGCUGUAAGUCCAAAA